rnacentral:rRNA from 1 species
UCUAUAACCGAUAACCCCCGUUAAACCUCACCACUUCUUGUUUAUCCCGCCUAUAUACCGCCGUCGUCAGCUUACCCUGUGAAGGCCUAACAGUAAGCAAAAUGGGCCCGCCCAA